rnacentral:rRNA from 1 species
GACGAACGCUGGCGGCGUGCUUAACACAUGCCAGUCGAACGGAAAGGCCCUGCUUGUGUGGGGUGCUCGAGUGGCGAACGGGUGAGUAACACGUGAGUAACCUGGCCUUGACUUUGUGAUAACUGCAGGAAACUGGUGCUAAUACCGGAUAGGAGCUCCUGCUGCAUGGUGGGGGUUGGAAAGUUUCGGCGGGUGGGGAUGGACUCGCGGGUUAUCAGCUUGUUGGUGGGGUAGUGGCUUACCAAGGCAUUGACGGGUAGCCGGCCUGAGAGGGUGACCGGCCACAUUGGGACUGAGAUACGGCCCAGACUCCUACGGGAGGCAGCAGUGGGGAAUAUUGCACAAUGGGCGGAAGCCUGAUGCAGCAACGCCGCGUGCGGGAUGACGGCCUUCGGGUUGUAAACCGCUUUCGCCUGUGACGAAGCGUGAGUGACGGUAAUGGGUAAAGAAGCACCGGCUAACUACGUG